GUCUACGGCCAUGCCACCCCGAACAAGCCCCAUGUCUGAUCUCGGAAGCUAAGCAGGGUCGGGCCUGGUUAGUACUUAGAUGGGAGACCCCCUAGGAAGACCAGGUGCUGUAGGCA
rnacentral:rRNA from 1 species